CAAUCUCUGCGAUCCAUUUUACCACAGACCUCGUUAUGUAUCACAAGCAAGAAUACAUGGAAGGAGGCUAGAGAAGAUCGUCCCUUUACAUGAGAGAGGGCGAUUCAAGUCUGGAGGAGCCAUUUAUGCUUUCCCAUGGUUUAAUCUCUGUCAGAUGAGUUUCCCGCUUAUGCUUCUCCUAAAAUCUCUCCCAGAUAUUCAAAUUCCCCGCUCCCUCUCAUUGUAAAUGGUAUUAAAUUUCUUUUCAUAUCUGAAAUCUUCAAAUUCAUGGUCACUUUUAUCGUAGAAUUUUGUGUGUGUUGUUUCAAAUUUUAAAAAUCUCCAAUCUAGGGUUUCUUUCUGCAAAAGAAAAAAAAAUGGACAUUAAAUGGGUUGAGAUUUUGGAUGAAGACAGAAAUUUCCACAAAUGUUGGUUGGCUUCCCAAGAUUCAACUUAAAGACCUAGUGUUGAAAUGGUAGAAGACAAACGAAGCUGUAAGGGAUGUUGCAAUUGGUUGAAUUUUACCCCAGAAAAUAUAUCUGUAUGAACUCUUCUGUUGGUAAGUAUGAUAAAGAUGUUUUGGGUCUUGUGUGAUGGUAAGUUUGUGAUGAAAAGACAAUAAAAAAAUGCCCCCUUCCUUGUAUUCAAGCAUGAGCUAUGUAUAAACCAUCAAAACUAAUAGUGUAUGCCUUCAGAAAUUCUUGAAGUAAUGAUAAUUAAUAUGUACUUUUGUGAUG